UACAGAGGGUGCGAGCGUUAUUCGGAAUUACUGGGCGUAAAGAGAGUGUAGGCGGUUUGAUAAGUCUGAUGUGAAAGCCCUAGGCUUAACCUAGGAAGUGCAUUGGAUACUGUUAGACUAGAGUAUGAGAGAGGAAAGCGGAAUUCCUGGUGUAGAGGUGAAAUUCGUAGAUAUCAGGAGGAACAACGGAGGCGAAGGCGGCUUUCUGGAUCAUAACUGACGCUAAGGCUCGAAAGCGUGGGUAGCAAACAGG
rnacentral:rRNA from 1 species